rnacentral:rRNA from 1 species
UACGUAGGGGGCAAGCGUUGUCCGGAAUCAUUGGGCGUAAAGCGCGUGUAGGCGGCUGGGUAAGUCCGCUCUGAAAGCCCGGGGCUCAACCCCGGGAGGCGGGUGGAUACUGCUCAGCUCGAGUCCGGAAGAGGAGUGUGGAAUUCCUGGUGUAGCGGUGAAAUGCGCAGAUAUCAGGAGGAACACCGAUGGCGAAGGCAGCACUCUGGGACGGUACCUGACGCUGAGACGCGAAAGCAUGGGUAGCGAA